GACGAACGCUGGCGGCGUGCUUAACACAUGCAAGUCGAACGGAAAGGCCCUGCUGUUGUGGGGUGCUCGAGUGGCGAACGGGUGCGUAACACGUGAGUAACCUGCCCUUGACUUUGGGGUAACUUCAGGAAACUGGGGCUAAUACCGGAUAGUAGCUCCUGCUGCUUGGUGGGGGUUGGAAAGUUUCGGCGGGUUGGGAUGGACGCGCGGCCAAUGAGCUUUUUGGUGGGGUAGUGGCUUACAAAGGUUUUGGCGGGUAGCCGGCCUGAGAGGGUGACCGGCCACAGAGGGACUGGGAUACGAGCCAGAGGCCUACGGGAGGCAGCGGUGGGAAAUAUAGCGCGAAGGGCGGAAUGAGGAAGCAGCGACGCCGCGUGGGAGAGGACGGCCGUCGGGUUGUAAACCGCUUUCGCCUGUGACGAAGCGUGAGUGACGGUAAUGGAUAAAGAAGCACCGGCUAACUACGUG
rnacentral:rRNA from 1 species